rnacentral:tRNA from 1 species
GGCCCCGUAGCCAAGUGGAAUAAGGCAUAGCUCUGCAAAAGCUUGAUCAACGGUUCAAAUCCGUUCGGGGCCUCCA